rnacentral:rRNA from 1 species
UCGGGAAUUUUGGGCAAUGGGCGAAAGCCUGACCCAGCAACGCCGCGUGAGGGAUGAAGUAUUUCGGUAUGUAAACCUCGAAAGAAUGGGAAGAAUAAAUGACGGUACCAUUUAUAAGCUCCGGCUAACUACGUGCCAGCAGCUGCGGUAAUACGUAGGGAGCAAGCGUUGUUCGGAUUUACUGGGCGUAAAGGGCGCGUAGGCGGCGCGGUAAGUCACUUGUGAAAUCUCUGAGCUUAACUCAGAACGGCCAAGUGAUACUGCUGUGCUAGAGUGCGGAAGAGGCAACCGGAAUUCUUGGUGUAGCGGUGAAAUGCGUAGAUAUCAAGAGGAACACCUGAGGCGAAGGCGGGUUGCUGGGCCGACACUGACGCUGAUGCGCGAAAGCCAGGGGAGCAAACG